rnacentral:lncRNA from 1 species
AGAUUAACAAAGUAAAAGAGGAGCAGCUAGUUGAAACCCUCCCACGGCUUCAGAUAGCAGAAGACGACUUCCAAGAAAAAAGCAGGACACUCAAGUCCCUCCAGAAUGACAUUUCAGCAAAGAAACAGGAGGAGACUUUGUUGAGCACCUAUAUUUUCCGCUACAGAAAGGACAUCAUCAGAUGCACGAACAACACGGAGACUGUGAAGCGAGACAUGAGACAUAUACGAACCCUUGAAAGUGAAAAAACCCAAAGCCAUUUUGAAGCCCUAAAGAACUUAGAAAAUGAAAUCUAUGUAAAUGACCAAAAGCUGGCCCUUCUCAUCCUGGAAAA